rnacentral:rRNA from 1 species
UACGGGGGGGGCAAGCGUUGUUCGGAAUUACUGGGCGUAAAGCGUGCGCAGGCGGUUAUGCAAGACAGAUGUGAAAUCCCCGGGCUCAACCUGGGAACUGCAUUUGUGACUGCAUGGCUGGAGUGCGGCAGAGGGGGAUGGAAUUCCGCGUGUAGCAGUGAAAUGCGUAGAUAUGCGGAGGAACACCGAUGGCGAAGGCAAUCCCCUGGGCCUGCACUGACGCUCAUGCACGAAAGCGUGGGGAGCAAACAGG